rnacentral:rRNA from 1 species
AUACGUAGGGAGCAAGCGUUGUCCGGAAUUACUGGGUGUAAAGGGUGCGUAGGCGGGACUGCAAGUCAGAUGUGAAAUGCCGGGGCUCAACCCCGGAGCUGCAUUUGAAACUGUGGUUCUUGAGUGAGGUAGAGGUAAGCGGAAUUCCUAGUGUAGCGGUGAAAUGCGUAGAUAUUAGGAGGAACAUCGGUGGCGAAGGCGGCUUACUGGGCCUUUACUGACGCUGAGGCACGAAAGCGUGGGGAGCAAACAGGAUUAGAUACCCUGGUAGUCCACGCUGUAAACGAUGAUGACUAGGUGUGGGGGGACUGAACCCUUCCGUGCCGCAGUUAACACAAUAAGUCGUCCACCUGGGGAGUACGGCCGCAAGGUUGAAACUCAAAUGAAUUGACGGGG